CCUACGGGAGGCAGCAGUGGGGAAUAUUGCACAAUGGGCGAAAGCCUGAUGCAGCGACGCCGCGUGAGGGAUGACGGCCUUCGGGUUGUAAACCUCUUUCAGUAGGGAAGAAGCGAAAGUGACGGUACCUGCAGAAGAAGCGCCGGCUAACUACGUGCCAGCAGCCGCGGUAAUACGUAGGGCGCAAGCGUUAUCCGGAAUUAUUGGGCGUAAAGAGCUCGUAGGCGGUUUGUCGCGUCUGCCGUGAAAGUCCGGGGCUCAACUCCGGAUCUGCGGUGGGUACGGGCAGACUAGAGUGAUGUAGGGGAGACUGGAAUUCCUGGUGUAGCGGUGAAAUGCGCAGAUAUCAGGAGGAACACCGAUGGCGAAGGCAGGUCUCUGGGCAUUAACUGACGCUGAGGAGCGAAAGCAUGGGGAGCGAACAGGAUUAGAUACCCUGGUAGUCCAUGCCGUAAACGUUGGGCACUAGGUGUGGGGGACAUUCCACGUUUUCCGCGCCGUAGCUAACGCAUUAAGUGCCCCGCCUGGGGAGUCGGCCGCAAGGCUAAAACUCAAAUGAAUUGACGGCGNGAGACGUGCCGAGCGACGACGAGGGAGGAGG
rnacentral:rRNA from 1 species